CCUACGGGAGGCAGCAGUGGGGGAUAUUGCACAAUGGGGGAAACCCUGAUGCAGCGACGCCGCGUGAGUGAAGAAGUAUUUCGGUAUGUAAAGCUCUAUCAGCAGGGAAGAAAAUGACAGUACCUGACCAAGAAGCCCCGGCUAACUACGUGCCAGCAGCCGCGUGAAGACGCAGGGGGCAAGCGUUAUCCGGAUUUACUGGGUGUAAAGGGAGCGUAGGCGGUUCUGUAAGUCUGGAGUGAAAGCCCGGGGCCCAACCCCGGGACUGCUUUGGAAACUGUGUAACUGGAGUACAGGAGGGGCAGGCGGAAUUCCUGGUGUAGCGGUGAAAUGCGUAGAUAUCAGGAGGAACACCGACGGCGAAGGCAGCCUACUGGACUGAAACUGACGUUGAGGCUCGAAAGCGUGGGGAGCGAACAGGAUUAGAUACCCGUGUAGUC
rnacentral:rRNA from 1 species